CAGCAAAAAAAAUUGAAAGUAAGUUCUGCCCUAUGAUUUAUUUUAAAUGGCUGCAGUAUAUUGACUGUGCAAAGGUAGCAUAAUAAUUAGUCUUUUAAUUGAAGGCUUGCAUGAAUGAAUAAAUGAGAAGUUUUUUUUAUUAUUAAUAUAUUUUAAAUUUAAUCUUUAAGUAAAAAAGCUUAAGUUUUUUUUUGGGACGAUAAGACCCUAUAGAAUUUAAAAUAUUAUUUUAUAUUUGUUUUAUAGUUAACAUUUAAUCUUUUAUAUAUUAAUUUUUUUUGUUGGGGUGAUGAAUAAAUUUGACUUUAUUUAUAAAUUUCAUUUAUAAAUGUUUUUUUGAUCCAUUUUUUUGAUUUUAAGAUUAAAUUACCUUAGGGAUAACAGCGUAAUUUUUAUGGGAAGUUCAUAUUUAUAUAAAAGUUUGCGACCUCGAUGUUGAAUUAAGAUAAGAAUGUGGGGCAA
rnacentral:rRNA from 1 species